GGCGGCAGGCUUAGCACAUGCAAGUCGAGCGGUAACAGAUCUAGCUUGCUAGAUGCUGACGAGCGGCGGACGGGUGAGUAAUGCAUAGGAAACUGCCCAGUAGUGGGGGAUAGCCCGGGGAAACCCGGAUUAAUACCGCGUACGCCCUUCGGGGGAAAGCAGGGGAUCUUCGGACCUUGCGCUAUUGGAUGUGCCUAUGUCGGAUUGGCUAGUUGGUGGGGUAAAGGCCUACCAAGGCGACGAUCCGUAGCUGGUCUGAGAGGAUGAUCAGCCACAUCGGGACUGAGACACGGCCCGAACUCCUACGGGAGGCAGCAGUGGGGAAUAUUGGACAAUGGGGGCAACCCUGAUCCAGCCAUGCCGCGUGUGUGAAGAAGGCUUUCGGGUUGUAAAGCACUUUCAGUGAGGAGGAAAAGUUAGUCAUUAAUACUGGCUAGCCUUGACGUUACUCACAGAGGAAGCACCGGCUAACUCCGUGCCAGCAGCCGCGGUAAUACGGAGGGUGCAAGCGUUAAUCGGAAUUACUGGGCGUAAAGCGCGCGUAGGCGGUUUGGUAAGCGAGAUGUGAAAGCCCCGGGCUUAACCUGGGAACGGCAUUUCGAACUGUCAGACUAAAGUGUGGUAGAGGGUAAUGGAAUUUCCUGUGU
rnacentral:rRNA from 1 species